UCGUUCCUCCUGUUCUCUUACUCUCUUUCUGUCCGUCUCUCUCUCCCACCUCUUCCCCGUUUCUCCUUUCCUCCCCGCUUCUCCUUUCCUCCCCGCGUCUCCUUUCCUCCCCGCGUCUCUCUUUCAUUCUCCCGAAGCUUCAUCUCUGCUGUCACACGACCGACUGCCCUCCGCUGCGUAUUCUUCCUCCUGGUUGCCGCGGUGACACGACCCUCGACAUGUAACCGUGACGACGGGGGCGAGGGGCAGGUGGAGGCUGCCUCCACCCAGCUGUCCGUCACGGGACAGGUCACGCCGACCCCAAUCUGGUCUGUCGACUGGGGCCCCACGUUACCACUGGAGGACGAGACGCCUCACAUCCUGUCCAGCCAGGAAACGGACCCACACCAUCGUGGCCGUCAGGUCCCCGCAACGACCGCAGAGGCCUGGCCUUAUCAGAGCGCACCAGGAAGUGCAGAGCCCCAGGAGCCCCGUGACCUGCUGGAGGCCCCGGGCACAGAGGGAGUGGUGGAUGGAGGGAGCGAGGCAGAGGAGGGAGAGCCCGAGGAAGUGGAUCCUCAGUUCUACGUCACAGUGACAAUCUCCUCUCUUCUUAUCCUGACGGCUGUUAUCAUUACAGCCAAACUCUGUUACGACCGCAGCUGUUCCCAGCAGCCACCCCCGCUCUCCCGUGGCGUGGGCCCCCCCCUUUCCCUCGCCCUCCCUCGUACCCUGGCUCAGGAGGACAGCAGGCAGACGCUGCACAGUACUCCCUCCUUCAACGACAGAGAGAGGAUCCCCGUGGUGAACUUCUAAAGCAGUAUCCGACAUGAAGCGCAUGUCUACGGGAUGCGACAGAGAAAAACGACUCAGCCAGAGGGGGUGUUCAACCAACUGUCUAUUUCUCUUUGACUGUGAAGGUGAAAAUCAGGAAACCAGUUGUCCAGCCACGGCCAAACCUCUGCUUCCCUACUUUGGAGAGGUCUAGAAAACACCUGUGUCGAUCGCAUCUUUCCUGCCACCAUACUCCCACGCCACUGUGCUUUGGUGUGAUAUCUCCUUUCUUCUGUUUUCUGUAUCACUGUAGACCGACCAAACCUUCCGCUCUGUUUUAUAUUAAUCUGUCUGUACUGCCUCGGGCUACAACAGGCGCGCUGCUCCCUCCGCUUCACCUUCCUUGACUAAUUCACAAGCAAACAGUGUUAGAUAGAACGUUCGAUUCCCGCCGGCACCGUUGCCGCUGUUGUUUGUUUUGAUUCGAUUUCACAUGAAGAACUGUGUGGGGCUGUUUGAGAUAUUUCAUGAUACUGACCAGGUAGCUACUAUGGUGAAACAGUGACAUUGAUGGUUGAAAGGAAGAACGUGCAUUAUUGUAGAAUUGUAGAAUGAAAUACGGGUGUUAAGUGGCGGUGAAGGGUUAAAACCAUCCCGUUCAGUAGGACUGAAAGGGGUAUUUCACAAAGCUGGUUGGCAGGGUUGUAGCCAAAAGCCAAUGUACUUAACGUGACACGGUUCAAAAAUUGCUGUUUACUCCCGCUUGGAAGCAUGCAAUGCAAAUAGGCACACUGCCGUUUUCACGUCCGCAAUUUGUUUGAGGGUGUUUUUUUUUUUUCGUUCCCUUAAUUAUUCUCUUGAUUUGUCGCAUUUUUUCCGCCUGUCUUUGUUGUGCCUUUAGUGAGCGUGUUAUUUUCUCUCGGGAGCAUGAGCACCUUCUGUAUAUAAUACUGUUGUAUAGGGUUGAACACAUUCCAGAAUAAUCCUAUGUUUUCUGUAUAUUAAGUGACAUUAACGGACAUUUUAUAAGUGGGAUUUCUGGAAUUUUGGGAAAAGCUACAAUAUCUUCUCAACCUUAGUUGUAUUAUGAAGAGUGGUCCAAACAGCUGUGCAAUAAGUCUGAAUAUAUUUGAAAUGAAUUCAAAUGAUACAUCUGGUGUGAUCAGUGUUUGUGCCAGAUAAAUAUAAUGGGUAUAAAUGACACAGUCCAGAAUUAGUCAUUUUGCCAACAUCUGGUGUUUCUAUUGAAAUUCUGCUUCGACUUCAAUCAUAGACUAUCUACCCUAUAUUAGACUAGUGUACCCUAGAAUAUUAGAGUCCCCAUUUGACUCUGUCCACCAGCUUUGAGAAAUUAACUACUAGACCUUUACUACACUAGUGUUAUGACAUCAUAUGUGACUUGUUCUGCAGUCCAGUGUUCCGUGGUUCUCAGUAUCAUUCCUCUAGAUGUGUAGUUCCACUGUACCGUGGGAAAACCAAUAAAAAUUCAACACUGGUGUUUUAGCAUUGUGUCUGACUGGACUUUACUGGCCUUGGGUCAAGAAAAGGGGGCCGUGUGGAUGGGUAGUGUUCGAUGACAACACCGGAUGGAUGUCAGCUGUCGCAACUGGUUUAAGUGGUAAAACUUGGGACCACAAUGAGGAGACAGAGAUGUUGUCAUGAGACCAGCAAGUACACAUGAAAGCCAAGUGUUCCAAUUUUGCCAUUGAAGUCCACUAACCUAGGUCCAUUUGACUUCCAUUGAAGUUCAGAGACUUGCAGUGAAAAUGUCAGUAAUGAGGCCCAGGUGCACAUCCACUAUUGUCUAUUAAUUGGAAGAGCUAGGUAAAACAAAAAAUAGGCGAUUGUUUUAAAAUAGUAAAUGUUUAGGGGCUUUAUCCAAUCUGUUAUUCUAGAAAUGUAAUGGUUCGAAACUAGGCUGUGCAAAAGCCAGUGUGACCGGGAGUCCCAUACACAAGGUUUAUAUUGGCCAAAUAUGUCUGCAGUUGGCAGAGGGAUCGCCGGCAGGGAUUCCCUUGUUCCAUUACACUCCAGCAACUCCUAGCAGGUUUGGCACCUAAGUAGGACCUGCUUGUAGUUGAUAGUCAAGGCAGUGUUCUCUGACACGCUGAACUGACUUCCUGGUUAAGCUAGUCAUAUGAUAAACAGCACGGCUCAGUGGGAUUGGAUCAGAAGACCUUCGUCUUGGUUUUUCGAGUUGUCCAUUCCUGUUGGGAGAUGCUGCCAUAAACUGAGAUUGUAACUUCAAAUUUUAAAUCCUGAAAUUGAGAGAAAAAGGGGAGAUAUAUAGGGCACUUGGAAAGUAUUCAGACCCCUUCACUAUUUUCACUAAGUAUUUUUUUUGCUCAUCAACCUACACUCAAUACUGCAUAAUGAUACACAGGUUUUGAGAAAUGUUUUCAAAUAAAACAAUUGAUAGACUACAGAUCACUUGUAUGGAAGCAUCCACACCCCUUCACUCAGUACUUCGCACCUUGGCAGCGAUUCCAGUCUCCUGCACUGUCUUGGCUGUGUACUUUGGGUUGUCGCCUGUUGGAAGGUAAAUCGCUCUGGAGCAGGUUUUCUUCAAGCAUCUGUUUUUACAUUGCUGUGUUAAUAAUUUCCUCGAUUUUGACUUGUCUCCCACUCCCUAGAGCUGAAAACCUCCACAGCAUGGUGCCGCGACCACCAUGCUUCACUGUACGGAUGGUGUUGGCCAGUUGAUGAAACGUGUCUGGCUUCCUCCUGACGUGACACUUGGCAUUCAGUCCAAAGAGUUCAAUGUUAAUUUCAUCAGACCAGAGAAUCUUGUUUCUGAUGGCCUGAGAGAACUUUAGGUGCCUUUUGGCAAACUCCAAGCCAGCUGUCGUGCUUUUUACAGAGGAGGGCCUUCCAUCUGGCCACUCUCCCAUUAAAGCCUGAUUGGUGAAGUGCUGCAAAAAUGCUUGUCCUUCCAGAAGGUUCUCCCAUCUCCACACAGGAACUCUGGAGCUCUGUCAGAGUGACUUUCGGGUCCUUUGUCAUCUCCCUGAACAAGACCCUUCUCCCCUAUUGCUGAUAUUGGCAGCAGGCUCUAGGAAGAAUGCUGGUGGUUCCAAACCUCUUCCAUUUAAAAAUGAUGGAGGCCACUGUGUGCCACAGAGUUUUUGUUACCCUUCACCAGCUCUGUGCCUUCAAUACAAUCCUGUCUUGGAGCUCAACGGACAACUCCUUUGACUUCAUGGCUUGGUUUUUGAUCUAACAAGCACUGUCAACUGUGGGACCUUAUAUAGACAAGUUUGUGCCUUUCUGAAUUAUCUCCAACCAAUUGAAUGUACCACAGGUGGACCCCAAUCAAGUUGUAGAAACAUCUCAAGGAUGAUCAGUCUUUUGCUUGUUGUUAUGGGGUAUUGUUUGUAGAUUGAUGAUGAAAAAAAUUCUGUUUAAUACAUUUUAGAAUAAGGCUGUAUUAUAAUGAAAUGUGGAAAAAAUUAAGAGGUCUGUACAUUCCGAAUGCACUGUAAUGAUAAUGAAAGGUAUUAAAAUGUAAAGGAAAUUUGUAAUUAAGCUGACAUACAGUGGAUACAUUCGAAUUUCAAUUCCUAUGUAAUGCUGAAAGUCUGUAUUAGGGAUUGGAUGUAGCCCUGGGCUGGGAUGCAUUUAAACCUGGUACAGCACUGUUGACUGAAGUGUCUUCAUACUGCACUCCUGAAUAGUGAUUGUAUACCUGUGAGGGGGUCUCCUUGGUAGUAGUUUUUAUAAACCACCAACUACACUACUGCAAUUUAAUUUCACCAUAGCAAAAUGGACACUGAAUAACCACUGCAAUGCAGGUUUAAUUGCAUUGAACCCUUAGUGUUUGGUCCCAAAGGGCUAGUUUGCAUUGACAACAUCCAGCUUGUGACUCUACAAACUUUCUCAAUGCCUGUGCAGUUUGUUUUGGCUUAUGUUGUGUGUGGAGGGUAGAUAAUUUAUAGGCUUAUGUUGUGUGUGAAGGGUAGAUAAUUUAUUGAGUCCCUUUCAUUGUGGAUAAGACCAUACCCCAAAAACAGAUGCACCUUUGGCCAUAAAGCUUAGACCAAUACCAUUAACUGAGGAGGGUUUUUUCUGGAUUGGGGGUAUGAUAAUUAUACCUCUAACUUUCUCAUUAUUCUUCACAAAAUGUUGAACUUUGCUGUCCAAAUAAAUGUGGAUGUGAGCGUGCGGUUUAUGGACCAUCUGGCUUGUCAUUUCCUCAUCCAAGGUCAAAGGAUGUUUAUCAGUUUAACUCUUUAUCCUCCUGAAGGGCAUAGCACAAAUGAAUCUUGUUGUACUCAGGGUUUUCUAACACUAAAGGAUUUUCA
ensembl:lncRNA